rnacentral:rRNA from 1 species
CCUACGGGUGACAGCAGUGAGGAAUAUUGGUCAAUGGACGCAAGUCUGAACCAGCCAAGUAGCGUGCAGGAUGACGGCCCUACGGGUUGUAAACUGCUUUUAGUUGGGAAUAAAAGGGGGCUCGUGAGCCCCGAAUUGUAUGUACCAUCAGAAAAAGGACCGGCUAAUUCCGUGCCAGCAGCCGCGGUAAUACGGAAGGUCCGGGGGUUAUCCGGAUUUAUUGGGUUUAAAGGGAGCGUAGGCCGGCUUUAAGUCAGCUGUGAAAGUCCGCGGCUCAACCGUGGAAUUGCAGUUGAAACUGGCGGUCUUGAGUGCACACGGGGAUGCCGGAAUGCAUGGUGUAGCGGUGAAAUGCUUAGAUAUCAUGAAGAACUCCGAUCGCGAAGGCAAGUGUCCGGGGUGCAACUGACGCUGAGGCUCGAAAGUGCGGGUAUCGAACAGGAUUAGAUACCCGAGUAGUC